ensembl:lincRNA Gm3764 predicted gene 3764
AGAGCAGCGGCCAAGGCUGAGGAGGGAGCUGGGACUCGAGACCCUGCUCCACCCUGCUGGCUCUCGCUCGGCCCCAUUACCUGGCAAGCCCCGGCAUCCUCGACCCACGUCCUCGACCCACGUCCGUGGCGCUGCCUGGGUAGGAACGCGCCUGAAGACCGCGCAGGACACUACCACUGGGCAUCCUGGGUUUGAUCUUCUCCCCUGGGGCGGGUGGGUGCUCCACCCUCCCGCCCACUCUCUGAGGACAUGAGGAACAUGGUAUCCAGCACCACGGACAGCUCCCAGCGGUGAGUGAGCCUGCUGACCCCUGUAGGAAAAUGGUGGUUUUAUCUAUUCCAGGCAGACAUCCUGCACUACAUUCCAGAUCUGAUGAGGCAUGGCUGCCCCAGGAUUACUGGGCUCGGACGGGAGCAGUGGUAGGAAGGAUCCUAUAUAAGUCAUGUGAGACAUAGAAUGUUCAGAUCAACUGAAGCUGAAACAAGCCUUUGGCAUCAUAUAUAACCCAGAAAGGGACAAAGCUGGUGAGUGAACUCCUGAAUCCAGCCUAGCCUUUUCUGCACUGAUUCCCCUUUAUGAACCUCCUUGCCCAAUUCUGGCAGGAGAUUUACAUGAGAUGUUACACACAAAAGGGCAGGAUACAUGUCUGGGAAUGUGAAGUAUCCCUAAGAACCAGGGAAAGGUGGAACUGACUGCUCUCACCAUCUGAGAAGGCUUUGAAGGGAAAGUCCUGAAGAAGGCAUGGGGAAGGCUUACCUAGGAAAAAGGCAAGGGAGCCACCAUCUGCCAGGGUAUAGAGGCCAGUGGAUGGCCCCAGGAGUCUCUGGAGGCCAGCAGGAGGCAUGCAGACUGGACUGGGGCCUGGGAAAGGCCCUUCUGUGUGCCCACGCUUGCUCCCCCUACACCAUGAGUCUAGAGACAAAGGGACCACUCUCUCACAUUUGACACUGCCAUCUCCGGCUGGCAGUGCCAGGUGGCAGGGGCAUCAGGGGGUGUCAAUCCAUUAUCCACUCCCAGCCCCUAAGUCCUCUGGGGCUGAAUGUUGGGGAGGUGGGUGUUCUACGCUAUGUUGCCAUAGCAACCACCCCAACCCCCAACCCC